rnacentral:rRNA from 1 species
GAUGAACGCUGGCGGCGUGCCUAAUACAUGCAAGUCGAGCGAAUGGAUUAAGAGCUUGCUCUUAUGAAGUUAGCGGCGGACGGGUGAGUAACACGUGGGUAACCUGCCCAUAAGACUGGGAUAACUCCGGGAAACCGGGGCUAAUACCGGAUAACAUUUUGAACCGCAUGGUUCGAAAUUGAAAGGCGGCUUCGGCUGUCACUUAUGGAUGGACCCGCGUCGCAUUAGCUAGUUGGUGAGGUAACGGCUCACCAAGGCAACGAUGGGUAGCCGACCUGAGAGGGUGAACGGCCACACUGGGACUGAGAAACGGCCCAAACUCCCAAGGGAAGCAAGAGGAGGGAAUUUUCCGGCAUGGACGAAAGGCUGACGGAGCAACGCCGCGUGAGUGAUGAAGGCUUUCGGGUCGUAAAACUCUGUUGUUAGGGAAGAACAAGUGCUAGUUGAAUAAGCUGGCACCUUGACGGUACCUAACCAGAAAGCCACGGCUAACUACGUGCCAGCAGCCGCCGUAA